GUUCGAGCGGAUGAGAGGAGCUUGCUCCUGGAUUCAGCGGCGGACGGGUGAGUAAUGCCUAGGAAUCUGCCUGAUAGUGGGGGACAACGUUUCGAAAGGAACGCUAAUACCGCAUACGUCCUACGGGAGAAAGCAGGGGACCUUCGGGCCUUGCGCUAUCAGAUGAGCCUAGGUCGGAUUAGCUAGUUGGUGAGGUAAUGGCUCACCAAGGCGACGAUCCGUAACUGGUCUGAGAGGAUGAUCAGUCACACUGGAACUGAGACACGGUCCAGACUCCUACGGGAGGCAGCAGUGGGGAAUAUUGGACAAUGGGCGAAAGCCUGAUCCAGCCAUGCCGCGUGUGUGAAGAAGGUCUUCGGAUUGUAAAGCACUUUAAGUUGGGAGGAAGGGUUGUAGAUUAAUACUCUGCAAUUUUGACGUUACCGACAGAAUAAGCACCGGCUAACUCUGUGCCAGCAGCCGCGGUAAUACAGAGGGUGCAAGCGUUAAUCGGAAUUACUGGGCGUAAAGCGCGCGUAGGUGGUUUGUUAAGUUGGAUGUGAAAUCCCCGGGCUCAACCUGGGAACUGCAUCCAAAACUGGCAAGCUAGAGUAUGGUAGAGGGUGGUGGAAUUUCCUGUGUAGCGGUGAAAUGCGUAGAUAUAGGAAGGAACACCAGUGGCGAAGGCGACCACCUGGACUGAUACUGACACUGAGGUGCGAAAGCGUGGGGAGCAAACAGGAUUAGAUACCCUGGUAGUCCACGCCGUAAACGAUGUCAACUAGCCGUUGGGAGCCUUGAGCUCUUAGUGGCGCAGCUAACGCAUUAAGUGACCGCCUGGGAGGCGCCAAGGACAC
rnacentral:rRNA from 1 species